rnacentral:rRNA from 19 species
AAUGACUCUCGGCAACGGAUAUCUCGGCUCUCGCAUCGAUGAAGAACGUAGCGAAAUACGAUACUUGGUGUGAAUUGCAGAAUCCCGUGAACCAUCGAGUUUUUGAACGCAAGUUGCGCCCAAAGCCAUUAGGCUAAGGGCACGUCUGCCUGGGCGUCACGC